GUGAGGAAUAUUGGUCAAUGGGCGAGAGCCUGAACCAGCCAAGUCGCGUGAAGGAAGAAGGAUCUAUGGUUCGUAAACUUCUUUUGCAGGGGAAUAAAGUGCAGGACGUGUCCUGUUUUGUAUGUACCCUGAGAAUAAGGAUCGGCUAACUCCGUGCCAGCAGCCGCGGUAAUGCGGAGGAUCCGAGCGUUAUCCGGAUUUAUUGGGUUUAAAGGGUGCGUAGGUGGUUUGAUAAGUCAGCGGUGAAAGUUUGCAGCUUAACUGUAAAAAUGCCGUUGAAACUGUCGGACUUGAGUGUAAAUGAGGUAGGCGGAAUGCGUGGUGUAGCGGUGAAAUGCAUAGAUAUCACGCAGAACUCCGAUUGCGAAGGCAGCUUACUAAGCUACAACUGACACUGAAGCACGAAAGCGUGGGGAUCAAACAGGAUUAGAUACCCGGGUAGUCC
rnacentral:rRNA from 1 species